rnacentral:hammerhead_ribozyme from 1 species
AGCUAGUUGACGAGUCCCAAAUAGGACGAAAUGCGUUUUAUCCUGGAU